GACGAACGCUGGCGGCGUGCUUAACACAUGCAAGUCGAACGGUAAGGCUCCAGCUUGCUGGGGUACACGAGUGGCGAACGGGUGAGUAACACGUGGGUGACCUGCCCUGCACUUCGGGAUAAGCCUGGGAAACUGGGUCUAAUACCGGAUAGGACCGCACCGUGAGGGUGUGGUGGAAAGUUUUUUCGGUGUGGGAUGGGCCCGCGGCCUAUCAGCUUGUUGGUGGGGUAAUGGCCUACCAAGGCGGCGACGGGUAGCCGGCCUGAGAGGGUGGACGGCCACAUUGGGACUGAGACACGGCCCAGACUCCUACGGGAGGCAGCAGUGGGGAAUAUUGCACAAUGGGCGGAAGCCUGAUGCAGCGACGCCGCGUGGGGGAUGACGGCCUUCGGGUUGUAAACUCCUUUCACCAUCGACGAAGGGUUUCUGACGGUAGAUGGAGAAGAAGCACCGGCUAACUACGUGCCAGCAGCCGCGGUAAUACGUAGGGUGCGAGCGUUGUCCGGAAUUACUGGGCGUAAAGAGCUCGUAGGUGGUUUGUCGCGUCGUCUGUGAAAUCCCGGGGCUUAACUCCGGGCGUGCAGGCGAUACGGGCAUAACUUGAGUACUGUAGGGGAGACUGGAAUUCCUGGUGUAGCGGUGAAAUGCGCAGAUAUCAGGAGGAACACCGGUGGCGAAGGCGGGUCUCUGGGCAGUAACUGACGCUGAGGAGCGAAAGCAUGGGGAGCGAACAGGAUUAGAUACCCUGGUAGUCCAUGCCGUAAACGGUGGGCGCUAGGUGUGGGUUUCCUUCCACGGGAUCCGUGCCGUAGCUAACGCAUUAAGCGCCCCGCCUGGGGAGUACGGCCGCAAGGCUAAAACUCAAAGGAAUUGACGGGGGCCCGCACAAGCGGCGGAGCAUGUGGAUUAAUUCGAUGCAACGCGAAGAACCUUACCUGGGCUUGACAUAUACAGGAUCGCGCCAGAGAUGGUGUUUCCCUUGUGGCUUGUAUACAGGUGGUGCAUGGUUGUCGUCAGCUCGUGUCGUGAGAUGUUGGGUUAAGUCCCGCAACGAGCGCAACCCUUGUCUUAUGUUGCCAGCACGUUGUGGUGGGGACUCGUAAGAAACUGCCGGGGUUAACUCGGAGGAAGGUGGGGAUGACGUCAAAUCAUCAUGCCCCUUAUGUCCAGGGCUUCACACAUGCUACAAUGGUCGGUACAGUGGGUUGCCAGUCCGUGAGGGCGAGCUAAUCCCGCAAAGCCGGUCUCAGUUCGGAUCGGGGUCUGCAACUCGACCCCGUGAAGUCGGAGUCGCUAGUAAUCGCAGAUCAGCAACGCUGCGGUGAAUACGUUCCCGGGCCU
rnacentral:rRNA from 1 species